rnacentral:rRNA from 1 species
UGGGGAAUAUUGGACAAUGGGCGCAAGCCUGAUCCAGCCAUGCCGCGUGAGUGAUGAAGGCCCUAGGGUUGUAAAGCUCUUUCACCGGGGAAGAUAAUGACGGUAACCGGAGAAGAAGCCCCGGCUAACUUCGUGCCAGCAGCCGCGGUAAUACGAAGGGGGCUAGCGUUGUUCGGAUUUACUGGGCGUAAAGCGCACGUAGGCGGACUAUUAAGUCAGGGGUGAAAUCCCGGGGCUCAACCCCGGAACUGCCUUUGAUACUGGUAGUCUUGAGUUCGAGAGAGGUGAGUGGAAUUUCGGGUGUAGGGGUGAAAUGCGUAGAUAUUCGGAGGAACACCAGUGGCGAAGGCGGCUCACUGGCUCGAUACUGACGCUGGGGUGCGAAAGCGUGGGGAGCAAACAGG